AACCAGCACAGACUGGCGUGCCUCAGGCAUCUCUGGGUGAUUAUCUCUUUGAGCGACUCACACUCAAGCAUGACCAGGAGG
rnacentral:pre_miRNA from 1 species